CUACAUCAUGUAGAAAAUCAAUAUCGCUAAAUUGAAAACAAGGGUGAUCACUAUCAAGGAUUCCGAAGGGUUCAUUAGAAUUUCUAGGUUGGCUACUACUUUAAACUUGGUUAUUUUUUCUAGGUUGGGGAGCCGGGGAAGGGGUAGUAUUUUGGCCACUAAUGUCACCGGUUUUAGCUUUUCCUUUACCGAACAAUUUUUUCAACGAAAAUGCCAUAAUAAUUAUAAUUAAGCAAACUAACAACACAAAAAAAUACU
rnacentral:lncRNA from 1 species